CGGGUUUUUGGCGGCUCAGGGAGAAGCCCAAGGUGGCCAAAGCGAGCGCGGGGCUGGAGGAUGGAGCCCAGGCCAAACGGGCACGGCUGGAGCCGGCCGAGACCACCAUGGUCAAAAAGCGUUUUGGAAUUUUGUCAGCUCCGGGACGCCCUGGCCGUGGAGCAGAGAGGGGAGAAGCUGAAAAGAACGGCCCCCGAUUAUUUCCUGCUCCAGGUGCUGCUGCGGUUCCGAUCCGAGACGGGCCGGGACCCCUGUCCCCGGCGCGGUUCCGAGGACUCGGAUCGGCUCCUCCGGCUGUGUCUGUGUGUCCGUGUGUCUGUGUGUG
rnacentral:lncRNA from 1 species